AGAGUUUGAUCAUGGCUCAGGAUAAACGCUGGCGGCGCACAUAAGACAUGCAAGUCGAACGGACUUAACCAUUAGUUUACUAUUGGAGCGGUUAGUGGCGGACUGGUGAGUAACACGUAGGCAACCUGCCUAUCAGAGGGGAACAACAGUUAGAAAUGACUGCUAAUACCGCAUAUGCCUAAGUACCACAUGGUACAAUAGGGAAAGGAGCAAUCCGCUGAUAGAUGGGCUUGCGUCUGAUUAGAUAGUUGGUGGGGUAACGGCCUACCAAGUCGACGAUCAGUAGCCGGACUGAGAGGUUGAACGGCCACAUUGGGACUGAGAUACGGCCCAGACUCCUACAGGAGGCAGCAGUCGGGAAUAUUGCGCAAUGGAGGAAACUCUGACGCAGUGACGCCGCGUGCAGGAAGAAGGUUUUCGGAUUGUAAACUGCUUUAGACAGGGAAGAAACAAGACAGUACCUGUAGAAUAAGCUCCGGCUAACUACGUGCCAGCAGCCGCGGUAAUACGUAGGGAGCGAGCGUUAUCCGGAUUUAUUGGGUGUAAAGGGUGCGUAGACGGGAAAAUAAGUUAGUUGUGAAAUCCCUCGGCUUAACUGAGGAACUGCAACUAAAACUGUUUUUCUUGAGUACUGGAGAGGAAAGUGGAAUUCCUAGUGUAGCGGUGAAAUGCGUAGAUAUUAGGAGGAACACCAGUGGCGAAGGCGACUUUCUGGACAGAAACUGACGUUGAGGCACGAAAGUGUGGGGAGCAAACAGGAUUAGAUACCCUGGUAGUCCACACUGUAAACGAUGGAUACUAGGUGUAGGGGAUAAUAAAUCUUCUGUGCCGCCGCUAACGCAAUAAGUAUCCCACCUGGGGAGUACGGCCGCAAGGUUGAAACUCAAAGGAAUUGACGGGGGCCCGCACAAGCAGUGGAGUAUGUGGUUUAAUUCGACGCAACGCGAAGAACCUUACCAGGGCUUGACAUAUAAGUGAAUAAUUAAGAGAUUAGUUAGUUCUUCGGAACACUUAUACAGGUGGUGCAUGGUUGUCGUCAGCUCGUGUCGUGAGAUGUUGGGUUAAGUCCCGCAACGAGCGCAACCCCUGUUUUCAGUUGCCAGCACGUAAAGGUGGGAACUCUGGAAAGACUGCCGGUGAUAAAUCGGAGGAAGGUGGGGACGACGUCAAAUCAUCAUGCCCUUUAUGUCCUGGGCUACACACGUACUACAAUGGCUAUAACAAAGAGAAGCGAAACAGCGAUGUGGAGCAAAACUCAAAAAAGUAGUCUCAGUUCGGAUUGUAGGCUGAAAUUCGCCUACAUGAAGCUGGAAUUGCUAGUAAUGGCAGGUCAGCAUACUGCCGUGAAUACGUUCCCGGGCCUUGUACACACCGCCCGUCACACCAUGAGAGUUGGGAAUACCCGAAGCCUGUGAGCUAACUGUAAAGAGGCAGCAGUCGAAGGUAGAAUCAAUGAUUGGGGUGAAGUCGUAACAAGGUAGCCGUAUCGGAAGGUGCGGCUGGAUCACCUCCUU
rnacentral:rRNA from 1 species